rnacentral:rRNA from 1 species
CACGUAGGGCGCAAGCGUUGUCCGGAAUUAUUGGGCGUAAAGAGCUCGUAGGCGGUCUGUUGCGUCCGCUGUGAAAACUCGGGGCUUAACCCCGAGCCUGCAGUGGAUACGGGCAGACUAGAGGUAGGUAGGGGAGAAUGGAAUUCCCGGUGUAGCGGUGAAAUGCGCAGAUAUCAGGAGGAACACCGGUGGCGAAGGCAGGUCUCUGGGCAUUAACUGACGCUGAGGAGCGAAAGCAUGGGGAGCGAACAGG